rnacentral:lncRNA from 1 species
GUGCUCUGUGGAGACCAUAGUGGGUGUAAUGGUUUGUUAGGAGGCGCUCUGUGUAGACCAUAGUGGGUGUAAUGGUUUGUUAGGAGGUGCUCUGUGGAGACCAUAGUGGGUGUAAUGGUUUGUUAGGAGGCGCUCUGUGGAGACCAUAGUGGGUGUAAUGGUUUGUUAGGAGGUGCUCUGUGGAGACCAAAAUGUAAAAAAAAAAAAACAUUGUAGAGGACCAGGGACAAGCUGUAAACAUUGUACUAUGACAUGUCUCUUUCUACUUCCUGUGCUAAUAGAUGACGUUGUCUCUUUCUACUUCCUGUGCUCAUCGUUCUUAUUGCGCAUGUGAUCUGACAGGUAAAGCUUUAUUUUUGCAGGGCCCCAGAAUUUUCAGUUCACAUGGCCAGGAUAGAGUCCUGGUCUACUUCACCUGCUGUGAUUGGUUCGUCACACUGCUCAUGUCCGUUAGUUAUUCUAUAUGUCCUGAGGGACAUGUGCUGUGUUGGAGAUAACCAACUGCCUUGUUAUCAGAACACUACUCAUUGUAGUUAAGCCACUUUCCUUAGCACUUAAAGAUUUGUACACCGACCAAUACAAUGCCUUGUUAAAGUGUGAAUAUUUCAGGAUUAUCUACAGUAAUUCCC